GCAGAGGCCCUUUUGCUCUCCAGAAAAGUUAUUCUUUCAGAGGAAUUCCUCUCCGGGAGGGGGCAUCGAAGCCAUCGUCAUCACCAACGCUUCCUCCUUUGUGGGAGGACCAAUCUUCAUCAGCAUCUUCACCAGCACCAUCUCAUCUCCAACCCUAGUUCAUAUGGUAUUCAACCUUUGUCUCAAAACCUUAGAUUGCUACCUGUCGGUUGCUAGUUGUGUUAAUUACAUCUUGUAAUUGAUGCUAGUCUGAUUACUUGGUGGAAGACACUAUGUUCAGAUCCUUAAUCAGUAUUAUUAUACCUCUCAUGUUGAACAUGUUUAUGUGGUGUGAAUUGUUACUAUUGUUCCUGAGGACAUGGGAGAAGUCUGGUUAUAAGUAUUCAUAUAAAGUUGGUAUUCGU
rnacentral:lncRNA from 1 species